UGGUGGAAGAGAGAUAGGUCUGGAGAGAUGCUGAGGAGAAGCAUCAUCAUGAAUCUCCUUUAGCACUGCAUUGUCUCAUCUCCUGCUCAUACAGACUUCCAUCCACUUCCUACCUGUGUUUGCUCAGUCUAAACCACCCUGCAAUUGUCAUCCCAUUUAAAAAAUAAUAAUAAAAUAAAAGUGGAAUAAAAAAAGAGAAAGAAAAAUGAGGGGAAGAAACCCAGGGUCCGGGUAGAAGAAAGAGAUGGGGAAGGCUGUGAUCUGGGGCUUGCUCUGUAGUUUCAGCCAGAACAACAUCCUGACUGUAAGAUCGAAGUUAAAUAACAAAUGGGAGAUGAGUCCUGUUCGGUGAGUAGCAGCGAAUGGGGGAAGAGAUCAGAACUCCUCAAUGAUUACUAAGUUUUCUGGCUGUAGAAGGAGGCAGGUAGGAUGGUGAGGACAGACUUGGAAGACAGACAUAGAGUCUGAACAGAAAUGGAUGGUUCUAACUAGACCACACAAGCAGCUCUAGAGACAGGACCAGGGACAAGAGACAGGAAGGAACCCAGCUUCCUGAGCUCCAGCAUCUGGACUCACUUCCCACAUGGGUCUCUCUUCUCCCCACAACCCAGAGAGGCCAAAACAAUCAGUAUCUUCAUGGAGCAAGUGAGAAAGCUGCCCAUCUCCUGAACAUGUGAUCCAGGCUCCCUUUCCCUCUCAAGAUACAUAACUGUCCAUUGGUCCUAUUUUCAGAUUGAUAAAGAGGCACAGGCAAGACGGCUACAGAGAUGGCUCAGUUGUUAGAGAGCUUGCUUUUCAAGAGUUCAGAUCUCGGGUACCCACAUGAGCGGUGGAUGGACAUGAGGAACCCAACAGUAAUACCAGUCUUGAGAUUCGGUACUACAGAUUCCCAGAGCAAUAAAGCUAGUAAGACUAGGCACAUGAGUGACCUCCAAGGUUGACUGAGAGCCCCUGUCUCAGUGAAUCAGGAUGAGGAGUUAACAAGGAUGAUACUCAACAUGAACUUUGGGCCUCCACAUGCAAACCCAUAUGCCCACUCACAGGUACCCACAUAAGUAUGCAAGCAUACAUGCAUAUAUGACACAUAAAGAUGGACAUGAAAAUUGCAAAAAAAAAAAAACCAAAACAAAAGUUUGACAGACAAGAAAGUAGUCAUUAACCAAACCCAUGCAUAACAUGACUCUAUCCACUGAAAUAACAUAAACCAUAUAUUUAAUUUAAAAUCCUUCAGUCACGUUAAAAAUGAAAAAAAUAACGCUCAGUGAUAAUUUUUAUAAUGCUACCUAAGUCAGCACAUGUAUAGCUGGAUUUCCUACAUGAAACACAGAAUCAUCAUGAAACUUAUUCGUGGGGUAAUUUUGAUUCUGCCGUCAUACCAAAUCUCCAACUGUUUCCCAAAUACGUACACAGUUAAUCCCAAGGAACUGCCCAAGUAGCUAGUAUUUGCAACACUAUGAAGCGCUGAUGAACCCGGAUUGGAUUUUGAUGGUGUAGAUUCUUUUGCUAGCCUCUCCGGAGAAACCCUCUGUAAAAGUGAUGGUCAAACUAUUCAAAGUCUACCUUAUUCUGGAAGGACAGAAACGUCUUCUGCGUGUCUCAUGUCACUAUGUCUGUGUUUCAAAAGAUAAUUUGUUCUAGGAAAAUGGAAGGCUGGGCUUACAAGUGCCACCAACGGCAGUCUGAGUCUUGUACUCAGGGGCAUUGUGAGAGUCAAGUUAGCCUUUCUAGUACAGGAGGCCAACCAGUCCCUUUGUGUAAAAUUUAUCAUUUCAUGAUGACAGGUACUCGCUCAUUGUUACAUUUGAAAAAAAAUCGUCCUUUUCUAUGAUCCACUGUUGGGAAUGAAUACCAUACUAUGCCCAGAGUUAACUUUCUAUUCUGGCUGUUUGAAAUUGUUUCAACUCCAAUCCCAGCUACUCUUUAGCUAAUAUGAUGCUUUAAAGUCUUAUCCUUGGCUUAAUGGAGUGCAUUAAAGAUUUGACUAAAUUUAUGUUUGGCUGCAAUC
rnacentral:lncRNA from 1 species